UGAUUUGAGAGCUGUUCCUCUCCAGAACAUUGAUGGUGAAUGGUUUACUGAUGGGUCCAUUUUUUUGAAGAUGGGGACAGAAAGACCUUCCUGACUCAUGAGAACCCAGAGAAGACCUGAAACUGCUGUUCCCCAGAACCCCUCAAGCACUGGAAAGAAAGGUAUUGUAUGGAGAAGGGGAACUUGUCUGUAUCUUCUCUUAUUAACCCUUUGCACUUCUCUUUGUUACUUUCCACUCUCUUCUCCAAGUUAACUGUUUCCUCUCAAACUACAUGAAGCUUUUCAGUGCCCUUUGAACCAUUCAUCCCAAGAACCCAGGUCCUACUCAGAGUGUCUUUUUCUCCAGGUCCCUUUGCCCCACUUUUGGGGAUUUCUCCCGGGAAGGGCAGGGAGGGGGAGGUGUGUGGGGGGGUAAUGACUCCUUGGUUAGGUUAGGAAAUUCCAUAGGCAGCAGAAGCCUCAGGAUUGUGGUGUGUGCUGUGGGCAUCCUCAAGGCAGUUGACAUCUGUGACCUGAUGGACUCGUGGCAAAGGCCACAUUUCUGUAACUCACUGCACCUACUACCCUGGAUGUUUCCCUAUUUGUACUAGCCAUCCCCUUGCCACCAACUUGACCCUAACUACUUCUUGUUUUCCUGCCAGAAAAUCUCUCUCAUUCAUAUACACAGAAACUGUCAGUGGAAGCUGUGGGGGCUUUAUUUCAACCCAGAUGUGGGGUCCUGGACACCACAAACACUAGUGGAGAAAAUGGAUGUAACCAUCUCACAUCUACCUUAGUUUCACCUCAGCCACCUGUACUUGCUAAAUUGAGGGCUUGAGCACUCACUGUACCUAUAACUAUGGACCAGCUAAGGAGAGAAUUGUGCAGUACUUGUUCCAAAAUUAUCUCAGCACCCUCACCCACAACACUUCUGCCUCACUCCCCCCGAUACGAAAGGGUGUAUAGAAUAAGGGUAGUGGGACAAAGUGUGUAGAUUAAUGGGAAAAAAUAAAGAGGGGUUGAAAGGAUGGCCUAGAAUCAAGUGGGAUUCAGAAGGGUGUUUAUUAAUCAGAGUGGGAUGAGGAGUGGAGACAAAUGGGAAUGAGAAAAAGGGGCAAGGAAAGUGUAGGGGGAGAAGGAAAGGGAGAGGUCCAUGGAUGGGAGAAGUUAAAUAACAGCAAGACAAGUUAAAGGAUAAAAUAAAGUAGAAGAGUCAGCAGAAAUAAGAAAUAAACUGAGUGCAGCCUCAUCUUAUCAUCAGAAUGUGGCCUCAACUUAUACCCUAAUAAUAACUAGGUUUUCAACAGCAACCUGUGCUGUAACCAAAAGCCCAGGUGUUCCCUUACCUUAGACAAAGUUGGAAAUUUCCCUCCUGUUAAACUGCCAUUUUUUUUUUGCCACAGUUAAUAUGGGAAGGAGUGUGUCAUUGGCUAUAGAUACUAUGUAAACCUGGACUUCCAGCCACUUGGAGAAAAGAUUGAUUCCAGUGCUACCAAGAACAAUUACUACCCUAAAGAUGAGCCUGGAAUAUUAGACUGCUAACAGCUUCCCACCCUACAGUCCAGGAAAUCUCCACACCAAAGUGUCAGGUAGAUGUUUAAGAAAUAUUUAGCCUGACUCCUCAUCAGUCUGGAGGUUUUAAGACUCAAUCCCAGACUUCUCCAAUUGCUGCAGGGCAACUUUUGGGCAACACAGCCUUGAGGCAAUAAAGCCUCAGGGGUGGUCUAGACCCCAGGUUGUAUAAGGCCCACAAAAUCAUUUGCUAAGGCAUGCACAGACUUAGGUUAGUUCCUAAUAUCAGCAGGACCCAAGGAACCUGUUUCCACAGCUGCCUCCAAUCUAAGAGCACGCCUGCAUUGGCUACAUUCUUUGCCUUUCCUUUUCAUGACUUCUUGAUAAAAUUUCAACUUUAAACAAUCCCUUUCUAUCAGGUCCCUUUUCCCUUAAUGUUACCAUCUUUUUCAAGUCUUAUCCUGGGAUAAUUCCGACUAUCUGCUGCCUUCAUUCCAUUCAUGCUACUGAAUGAAGCUAGAGAAAAAUCAUGAAACCGUGCUCACUGGUCUACUACAAGCUGAUCUCAUAUAAUCUCACCCUGGCAAGGCAGACCUUUGAUACCUCCUACACGAACUCAUUACCCUAUUCCCCAUGGCAGUUCUUCUAAGCUUUUGCUUCUUUCUUCAAACUUGCCUCCUAUUUUUCUGAGCAGCAGGAGGCCAGUCAUUGAGAGCUUUCCUUUCUCUAUCUCUCCUCACCUUACAAGGAUGCUUUCUGCCACUCUCAUGUCUUUCACAUCCCUCAUAUAAAGAGGUGGUUCCCUUCUCCUGCCAAACAAACCUUUCUCUGUACACAAAGAUCCCAUCCUAGCCCAUCUCCUCCAGAAUGUUACUUUCUCUACUUUCCAACUCGCUCUCUUUACUGACAAACAUGACCAUGUCUCCCCAUCCUUAAUUGGAAGCCCUUGUUCCAUCCUUCCCUGAUAGCUAUCAUGUCUCAUCUCUCCAGAUCUUUCUCCUAGACAAAGCCAACUAGAAUCAAUGCUUCUUAUUUCCUUUCAUUCUCUUAAUAGAAUUUCUGUAUCUCAAAGUAGAAUUUCUGAUCUCACUAUUCAACUGAAACCACUCCUUCCAAAUUGAAUUCUGAUUAAUACUGAUCUCUUAACUGUCAGACCCAAAGGCCAUUUCUCAGUCAUUAAACUUCUGCAAGCUCUAACACAAAUACCCUCUUCUACAUACUCUCUUCUAGGUACCACUCUAUGGCACCAUAGUAUACUACAAGUAGAAUAUCCAUUCUAGUCUCCCUCUUUAUUGGAUCUGUGCCCAAGACAUGCUCACUAAACAUUUGUGUGUUCCCUGGGACUUUAUCCUGGGGCCUCUUCUCUUCUGCCUUGGUAUCUUUUAUUUGGUGAUCUCAUCAACUCCAGUCAAUUGAAUGAUCAUCUCUAAACUGAUGAUUCUCCGAUCUACUCAUCCAUCUCAACCCUCUCUCCUAACUCUCAGAUCUCUGUCCCCCACUACCACCUCCACAUCUCAAAUGGGAUUUUCUGUACACAUUUUAAAUACAAGUCCAAAACUCAACUCACCAUCUGACUUCACAAAACUUCCCAUCUUUAAACUUGCCUAAUACUGUUAAGGACACCAUUAAUCCUGCUAGUUAAUCAGAUUCAAAACCCAGAUAUCAUUGUUGAAUUCUCACUUUUUUUCACUCCCCAUAUCCAAAGCAUUACCUUAUACUGUUGGUUAUAUCAUUGUAACAUUUCUAUCAUAUACACCCUUCUGGCAUCUGGUAUUAUUACUAACCUGGGGGAAAUACUCAUCAUGCCAUGAAGCAUUAAUCUAGUGAUCCAAGUUUCUCCUCCCUCCAGUCCUCUUCCAGUGAGCGAUCCAGUUAAUCUUUCCAAAGCAUAUAUCUGUCACUUCCCCAACCCCCAACUCAAACUUUAGUGACUCCCUAUCCCCUCUAUUAUCAAAUAUAAAAUUUUGUGUAGCAUUUAAAGCUCUUCACAAACUGUCCCCUCUCCUUUUCAACCUUCUUAGCAAUUAUUCCUUCCACUAACUAUGGUAUCUAAUCUAGUAAAAGGGACCUUCCUGCUUUACAAUACCUCCCAAGGGCACAGGUCUAGGAAGUGACAGAUAUAGGACUAUAGAAUCUAUCAGAUCACAUUGCCCCUACAACCCUCAAGCCCACCAACCCAAGCCUCUCCUCACCAGAUUCCUCUUUCCAGUCUUCUUCCCCCUUCCAUUGUAAGUCAACAUACUCCUCCGAUUUUUAAAAAACUAGCCUUUUUGCUGCUUUUCAGAUGAGAUUCCUUCUCCUGUCUGUGUAUAAAGCAUUGACUGUCCUCAUGCUUGCAAUUCUCUCCUUCCUUAUCUCUGCCUCCUAAAUUCCUUGACUUCCUUCAAAUCCCAGCUGAAGUCUUCUAUCAGAAGCCUUGACCUGUUCAUUUGAGCGCCCUCUUGCAUGGAUUAUCUCCAAUUGAUCCUAUAGACGACAGCUAGGUGAAGAAAGGACCCAGGGAAAUAAUGGAUGACAGACUGAGUGGAAGGUCAAAGGGAAUCUAUUGUCACAAUAAAUAUGACUAUCCCUUUAAGAGGCUCAUAAAGAUGAAAAGGGACAAGUGUAGGAGCCCCCUCCCAAAAAGAUUGCUUUUUUCCUUCCAAAUUCAACAUGAGAUUUGUGAAUGAAUUCUCAUUCUAUUGCGAGGGUUUCAGUAUAAAGUAAACUGCUGAUUGGGUACAGAGAGAAGGUAAGAGAGGAAAAAAAUAAGCCUUUAAUAAAUCACUUCCUCUGUACCAUGCAUGGCUCUAAUUGCUUUACAAAGAUUCCUCAUUUAUUUCUCCCAGCUCUAGUUCAUUUUGAAUUUGAGAAAGUAAAGGCAGAUUGAGAUUAUAUGAAUUUAUCAAGGCUCACACAGCUAGUCAAAUCUGAGCAUGGACUUGAUCUGAGGUAAUCCUGAUUCCAAGUCUUGUAUUCCAUGCAUUGUACAACUUCACCAUUUUGAAUAAUACUCAGGUUCAAAGGUGUGAAUGAAGAAAAAGGAAAGAGUGUUAGAGAAGACAGAGAAGAAGAGGAGGAGGAGGAUAGUGGCAAUUUUGUUGCCCUAUCAAAAAAGAAAGCCACAUAUCUGUUUUGGAUUGGACAUAUAGCAGAGAGAAAUUUAAAAAAAAAAAAAAGCUGAAUCAAAAAGUUUUAGAGAAAAGCCUUUCAAAUUUCCCUUAUCUGUUCAUACUGGACACAAAUAUUUUUUUCCUUAUUAAUGGACAGACAGUGACCAGAAUUACUGUUAAUCUUCGCUAAAAAAAAAAAAAAAAAAAAAAUGAAUUGUGGGUAAAAGAAUGACAAAACUAUUUAGUGAGAAUCAGUGGGAAAUAUAGUUUUGACACCCCAUUAAGGCAGAGUGGCUUAUAUUCAGGAUACUAAGUAUCUUACAAGCUUCCUGUCUCUGAACAAAUACACUAUCCUGCAAUCACAGAAGUGAAAUGAGGGAGAUUAGUAGUAUAAAGGAAAACUGGUGCCUUGUUAUGUCAGGUCUACCUCAAAUAUCCUAUUUAGGAUGAGAACCCAGCAUAAGCUAGAAAUUUUCCACUUAAGGUGCAAUCUUGUUUCUAGAAGUUCUUAUAUGUAAGAGGCUUUGUGCUAAUUUUGUGGGGGUGGGAAUACCAGAAUAUAUGUAGGAGGAAUGAGGAAGUUUGUAUGUGCUCAGUGGGGGGAGCAGCUACGAUACCAUUUAUUUAUACCUGAUGAGAUAAACCUUCUCCCCUGGACUCUGGGGAGAUAGCACAAACCACCUAAGAUUCAGCUACAUACAAAAUGAUUUUUAUUCUCAUUCCUAAUAAGCUACUAUUUUCUUAAGUGGAAGUAGGGUCUGUAAAGUCUUAAGAGACCUGGCUUUCAAAGUCAGGAAGAUCAGAGUUUAAAUUCAGUCUCAGACAUAACCGAGUAUCCUUGAAGCAAAGUCAUUUAACCUGUUUGCUUCAGUUUCCUGACAGGGUUGUUGUAAGGAUUAAAUGACAUGGUAUAUUGUCAAGGCUUAGCACAGUGCAGAGGAACAAGGUAGAUGCUUCAUCUUAUUUUCUCCCUCCCUGAUGUGAACCUGAAACUGCCUCGAGGUCCUAAUUGCUUAGAGCUUCCAAGCAAUCGUACUCCCACCCCCAGUUUAUGGAUAAAACUGAAACAUGGGAAACAUGUGCCUCCUGUUGGCAUGAGAGGAAAUGGGCAGACUGACAUCAAAGUUCUUUUUAUUUUUCUAACAAUUGACCUUCUAACAAAUGGUGGAGUUUUUCUGAUCUUCAAAUCAUAUUUUAAAUUCAUAAAAAAUUAUCUGCAAUCUCAAAAUCUAUAUAUAUUAAAUUCAUAAAUUUUUAAUUGUAGGGGGAUGGCACAGUUGUUCAUUUUACCUGAACAAAUACUUUGCCCUGCAAUGGCAAGAAGUAAAAUGAGGGAGAUUAGUAGUAUAAAGGAAAAUUAGAGCCUUGUUAUGUCAGAUCUACCUCAAAUACUCUAACUAGGAUAAAAGGGAAUUGGUAUCCACAGAGAACAUGACAUAAAACUAGAACUUGACCCAGCUGGUUUGCUUCAAGGCACUGAAAGGGUUAAGAAAGGCAUGUUCAGGGUAGAACUAACUAUAAGUUAAUACUUUCAAGUCCCUCAUGCUGGCUCUUCUGGUUAAUAUUUGAGUCACUUUUUUAACCUUUUCUCUUGUGAAUUUGAGAACACAAAUAGCAGAGAACUCUUGGCAGAAAGAUGCAGAGAUGGGAACCAAUGGACCAAUGGUCCUGACAGGUCCAUAGGAUAUUAUAAAAUCAAAGAAUACUGGAACUACUCUCAAAUUUUGUGAUUUGGGCAGUCUGGGGAAAGCUGACCAUUGUGCAUUAAGAAAAGACUUGAAACCACAGCCAAUAAAUGAACUUUCCCUUUAGAGAAUCAUCCUUUUUGCUUAUAGACUCGUGUUUCAUCCCCCAUUUCUUCUGUUGUUAUGCAAGAGUUUCUCAGUUGCUUCUUUCCAUUACUUUUACUGAUGAGGAGAGAGGCAAAAUGGGAUGGAGAAAUAAAGAAAUAAGGAAAGGGACCUGAAGCAAUUGAUCACUUUAAUCAAUUGUGUUGAUACAAGCUCUACUGCAAAAACAUACAACACACUGAAAAGCAAUGGCUUGACUGUGCCAAAAUAGCUAUUAGUGCAUUCUUGGGCUGCUACUCUUUUAGUUGGGAUGAUAAGUUAGUUAUUGUAGUAAGAGUUCUUGGUCCUUAUUGACAUGCUUUUCUCUAAGAAAAUCCUUCAAAUUCAGAAUGGGGAAAAGAAAUAGUUUAUUUCCCAAGGCUGAGAAUGAAUUAAAUAACAAACUAGUUCUUCUAUCAGUCACCAAAAAAUGAUGAAGAUACCAAAAUAUUUCAUUCUAACAGUAAGAAAAACAAAUACAUAAACUAGAAUACACCAGAUACAUACAGAGAAUAUGCAAAGUAACACUAGAAGGCAUAAUCCUAAUAGAAAACCAGGCUAGGAGAGGGGUGUACAGGGUCCAGAGGUUGAUAGCUAUGUGAGUAAAGAAAUGCAAACUACUGGUGGAGUGUUGUAAAGAAAAAAAUUAAAAUAUGCGUAACUAAAUGGAUGUUUAGAGGAGUUAUGGAUGACUGAGCCUGCAAAACUGGGUGACUGAAUAGGGAAUUUCAGAAGAAGGGAGAGUUUGGGGGACAAAACAAAUUGUGUUUUGGACAUGUUGAGAUUCAGUUGCAAAUUGGGCAUCUGGUUCAAAAUGACCAACAUAUAUGAGAAUUGGGGAGGACAGCUCAGAAGAGGUAUUGGGGCAGGAUCAAUAUAUCUGGGAGUGGUUUGCAUAAAGAUGACAAUUGGAUGUCAGGGAAAUUGAUGAGGUCCCCAAGUAGUAGCAUGCAGAGAAAAAAAAUGACCAGUGACAAAGGCAUAAAAAAUGUCACUCCCUGGAUCCAUGACAUGAAUAUAAAGAUCUAGUCAAAGAGACUAAAUGGCAAGCAGGUCACAUAAGUCAGUAAAGAACUUAGAGAAAACAGAAUCAUGAAAACUCUGAAAAGAGUAUCCCAAAGAAGAAGAAAAGGCCAAAAGUACCAAAAAUACUGCCAGAGAGAUCUUGAAGGAUCAGAAUUAUAAAAAAAGAUGUCUUCCAGUUUUAUACUUUAGAAGUUAUUAGUCACUUUUCAUUUCAAUUAGUAAAACUCAUCUGGGUGAUAAGGGAGAAGCCAGAGUGCAGAGAAUUUAGAAGAAAGAGUAAGUGGAGGUAUCAGCCAGUCAAUAAACAUUUAUUGUCUAUACUCUGGGUCAAGCUCCAGGCUAAGCACUGGGGGGCAUACAAAGAAAGGCACAAGCCAGGACCCAGCCUGUAGGAGCUCCCGGGUUAAGGGGGUGACUCCACGCAAAUAACUCUGUACACAUCAGUGGUUUACAAGAAAAAUGGGAAGUAAUGACGUUGUCCCUUGGGCUCCUGUAAGUGUGAAAUGAGGGAUAACACAUGUAAGUGAAAAGGUCCAGUUCUACUCAAAAGGCCACUCUGAGCAGAUCUCUGCUCCCUGAUCUGCUACUGACUUUCCCACCCACACAUUGUGUUUCCUGAUUCCUUCCCCUUUGCUCAUAUGUUCCCUUCUUCAUCCUCAGACUUAGUUCCAUUGCCGGGAAAAAGCCUCUGCCAGCAGGCCAAGUUCAUCCUAUUCCCAGGUCCCCCUCACCGGAUUUCACCAUGGUGGGGAAUAAGCUCACCACUGAGCAGGUGCCACAUCUCAACUGCCAGGCUGAAUUUGUGCCCCCUCAGGGCUCCAACACCUGGCCUUGCCUUGCAGCCCCUAAUGACGGAUGUGGCCAGUCUUGGCUAAGCCAUUACCUCCCAUUCAAUGCCUGCACAAUCAGGAAGCUACCCCAGCCUUCUCAACCACCUGCUUUCUGGGUCCUGAGCACCUCCCUGAGAUUGCUCCCAAGCAAGUCACUCAAAGGCCCCAGGCAUGGGGCUCACUAGGCUCUGUUUAGGGAUUUAAGGUGGUGGUGAGAAAAUUUAAAAGGCUCAUCCACUCUGCCUAUCAGGCUGAGAAAGAACUCCAAAUAGAAAGCCAAGUUCCACCCAGCCUUGAUCUCUGGGUCUUUGGUUCAUUUGAUCCAAAAAAGUGGGGAAAACAUUGGGCAUCCUUUUGAAUACUCUAUUAAAAAUAAAAAAUUUAAUUUUCAAAGGAAUUUGUGUUUGAGACUUCAAAAUUGUGUCUCAUUUCACAUGUUAUUUUUAAUUCUAUGUAGAGAAAGAAUAUAGGUGAAAAGUAUGGAUUUAUUUUUCCUUUUUAAAUAGAUUUUAAUUGGGAUUUUCUUUUUGAAAUUGAUUAUAUUCCAAUAGUCCUAGGAGUAGUCACUACCCUGAGGAUGAGCCUAGAAUAUUAGACUGCUAACAGAGUUGGCAAGCCAUCCACUCUUGUAUCCCUGAAAUCUCCACACCAUGGGUCUUGCAACUUGAUCAGAUAUUUAGCCUGGGCCCUCAUCACUCUGGAGAUUUUAGGCUCACCUCCAUGCCUUUCCAAAGGCCACUGGGCUAUUGUUGAACCAACACAGCCUUGGGGCUGAUCUAAUCCCCAGCAAGUAAAAGGCCUAUAAAAUCAUUUGCUAAGGCAACCACAAGCUAAACUGAAAGUUAGGCAUGUGUAGGGCACCAAACAUUCCCAAAACAAAAUCAGA